AUGGGAGGCACCAGGACACAGCUGCUUGUGCUGGGGAGUGGGGUGGAUGCUGAGACUGUGUGGGCCAUUCUGGGUCCCUUUUCAGCCACCCUUCUCCCUGACAUGCACACCACAUUCUGGAGAGUGGUGGGGGUAGGAGGGAAAGGUGGGAGGAAGGGAGGGAGGGAGGGAGACACAGAGGGAGGGAAGGAGGGAGAAGGAGGGGAAGGGAAGGGAGGGAAGGGAAGAGAGGGAGGGAGGGAAGGGAAGAAAGAGAGGGAAGAGGGGAGGGGGGGAGGGGGGAAGGAAGGAAGGGAGGAAAGGAGGGAAGGAGGGAGGAAGGGAGGAGAAAGGAAGGGACGGGAAGGAAGGGAAGGAGGGAGGGAAGGAAGAAAGGAAGGAAGGAGGGAGGGAGGGAAGAAAGGAGGGAGGGACGAAGGAAGGAAGAAAGUAAGGAGGGAGGGAAGGAGGGAGGAAAGAAGGAGGGAAGGAAGGAAAAAAGGAGGGAGGGAGGAAGGGAGGAAGGAAGAGGGAGGGAGGGAGGGGAGAGGGAGAGAGGAAGGGAGGGAAGGAAGGAAGGUCAGGAAGUUCUUCAAUCUAUGUCUGUUCCUCUCACACCACCACCAUGUCUUCCUCCUCCUCCUCCGCCUCCUCCUUCUCCAAGGAGCCACACUUGCUGACAGAGAGACUGACGGAUGGACCGACAGACUUGCUCGGACAGACGGAUGGGCCGACAGACUUGCUCGGACAGACGGAUGGACUGACAGACUUGCUUGGAGCACACACACGUGCUUCCGUGACAGCCUGGGCCCUGGCCCUGGCCCUGAGAAAGCGGACUGGCCUGGAGCACCGUCUCAUUUGGGGAUCUUAUCAUAUCCAAAGUGCACCCCAGGGACCUACAUUUAUUUUCCUGCUGCUGAUAACUCCACAGGAGCAAGACAGCCAGCUGCCAGGGUCAACGUCUCUUUCCCUGGCUCUAAAAUGCAUCUUUCUGAUCCAAGGCCUGUGAUUUCUCACCCUCGGGCCCUGCCCCAGCGACCUCAGGGACAGACACCUGCCUUUGUUCUGGGCGUUUGGGGCUGA
rnacentral:lncRNA from 1 species